CCAAACACAAAACCUCACACUGUCAGACAUGGAAAUGAUGCCUUUGCUCCACUUUUCUCUACAGACAUCACACCAGGUCAGAGGGACAGUUUCCUGGAGGUGCUGUGGCUUUAUGUUUACAAGUCGGCUGUGCUUGUGGUGUUUGUCAUCAUGGUUCUAACAAUAUUCAUGCUAUCGAAACAUGGAUGUAAAGGUGUCUGUCCAUCAAGACAACCAGAAAUAGAGGAACAACCAGAGAGACAGAACAUAGCUAUACCACUGACUGAGCCAGUAUCCCCACGACCAAAACCUAGUCCCCACCAAGCCCAGCAAAAGUGCUGGUCCAACUCACCGCCAGACAGUAUAUAUGAAAACAUAACUGCCAGUGACCAUCUCACCUGUGC